GGAGAGGUUGGAUAGGAACGACGCGCAGAUGAGGGCAUUCACCGCCCAGUACCAGCGGAGGAACGAUAUCCGGGAGAGGGAGCUCGAUAUGCAGCUCCUGAACACGGAUACGACGCACAUGACGGACGCACAACGUGCAUUGCACGCGUCCAUGGUCGCCGACGUGCUCAGGCGUCGUGGUCUAUCCUAGGGUUUUAAUUAUGUGAUUUUAAUGAUGUUUUAGGUUUUUUAAAUUUUUAUAUUUUUUUUUUGGUGUUUUUAAAUUUUUAUGUAUUUUUUUUUAUGUUUUAAGUAAUUUUAAAUUUUAUGUUUAAUCCAGUAUUUAAAUAUGCAAUUUAAAUUAUGCAAUAAAAUUUAAAUGAAAAACAUAAAAUCAAAACUAAUAUUAUCAAGUAGGCUAUCAAGGAACCCCAAUGCAGCACUACCUACUCAAUAACACAAACACUAUCAAGUAGGCUAUUAAGGAGGCUAUCAAGGAGGUCC
rnacentral:lncRNA from 1 species